rnacentral:rRNA from 1 species
AGAGUUUGAUCCUGGCUCAGGAUGAACGCUAGCGGCAGGCCUAAUACAUGCAAGUCGAGGGGCAGCGGGGUAGCAAUACCGCCGGCGACCGGCAAACGGGUGCGGAACACGUACGCAACCUUCCUUCAAGAGAUGGAUAGCCCGAAGAAAUUCGGAUUAAUACAUCGUAAAAUCACAGGGUGGCAUCACUUAAUGAUUAA